UGGGGAAUUUUGGACAAUGGGGGCAACCCUGAUCCAGCGACGCCGCGUGAAGGAUGAAGGUCUUCGGAUUGUAAACUUCUUUUGGAGGGGAUGAAUGCCCUGGUGAAUAGCCAGGGGUGACAGUACUCUCGGAAUAAGCCACGGCUAACUACGUGCCAGCAGCCGCGGUAAUACGUAGGUGGCAAGCGAUACUCGGAAUCACUAGGCGUAAAGCGCAGGUAGGCGGUUCGGUAAGUCUUUUGUGAAAGCUCCCGGCUCAACUGGGAGAGGCCAAGGGAAACUACCGGACUAGAGUGUGGUAGGGGAUACUGGAAUUCCUGGUGUAGCGGUGAAAUGCGUAGAUAUCAGGAGGAAUACCUAUGGCGAAAGCAGGUAUCUGGGCCAUCACUGACGCUGAGCUGCGAAAGCUAGGGGAGCAAACAGGAUUAGAUACCCCCGUAGUCC
rnacentral:rRNA from 1 species